UCCACUGAAGGCCCGUAGGACAUUUCAGACAUUCAGCCCGUUGUUGCUUCCAUCUGUCUGUCUGCAGCAACACACACAUGCACCUCUAAACUCAGGCAUGUCUGCACUGCCAUCACAUUCACCCUGCAGGACAAAGAAGAUUCAAGGAUUUUUUUCCUCUCCAAGUGCUCCCAGGCUUCCAGCUGAUGAAAUGAUGAUUGAAGAAAUCCUAACAACAAAGCCCGGCGGUGACCACAUCAUGCAAGAGUAUGCAAAAACCAAAUCUCUGACAGAUGCUACCAGAAGACGGAUGAUAAACAUACUUGCUGCUGACAUGACAGAAACACAUGGAACAUCCCCCCCACGUGUCUAAGUGUCAGAGUGAUGUAUGCUCUGUUCCCAUAUCUGGAAGACCCAUAUUCACAACAUGGAUAUGAACAUUACUAUGAUCCAGAGAGAGCGAUUCGGAGUACCUUGCAUGGCAGUUGAAGACCAUUCAAAGAAAAACUGCAGAGGUGCCUCAGUUAGCAAAUCUCCCAAGAUUGGUGGGCCAGGCCAUGGUCGAUCCAGACCCUUCACUGCUGAGAAAGUGUUAUCUGAUGAGGAUGUGGAAGCAGCUAUUGCUGUUUUGAAACACUCUGCUGUUGAAGACACUGUCUGUGAGAAGAUGAAAGCUACCUUCAUCUAUCGUCAUUCAAUGGUCAACGAUGAAAAGAAAGCAGCAGAUGUCUUCUCAGUCUUCCCGUGGUUUCUGGACACACUGGGACUGAUAGAACAAGAUUUCAGACUCCUGUUUGGUGAGUUCACUGCCCACAAAUUCUUGGAAAGGUGGCCCACAGAGCUAAAGUGGUAAAGGAAAGCCAUGGACUGGUACCCACCACAGAGCUCCUGGGGUUAAUGCACAAUGCUGAGUCAGCUGCUGAAGGUUAAGAAUGGCUGGGACAGUGACAUGUCUGCUCUCCUGCUGCUGCUACAUCUCCUGCCACCAUCUGCACACGGAUGAAAGAGGCCAGGAAAGAUGUCUGUAGCUCAGGCUGUAGAUCACCUCAUCAAAUUCCAAAGGGCUGGAACCAGUGUACAGCAGCAUCUGAACAACAUCAUCCAAAGCAGUCAGCCCUACCUCCUCACUCAGGGAACCACAAGAAGCAGCGUUCACACCUUCUUCAUUGUUAUUGACAAACAUGCCCUUCCAUGUAAGGCGACAGGUUCAGUCGGAGCCCUUGACGAACUCUUUAAGGCCCGUUAUGUCUUCGGUACAUCCUACAGUUCUUCACUGACCAAUUUCUUCACUUUCCUACAAACCCCAGAGUUGCAGAGUUGCGAGCAAGAAUGGUAUGUUAGUACCCACGUGAAUUCAAACAAUGCAGUGUUUUCUUUGCAAAAGUGACCAUGGUGGACCAAACAGCCUUAUAAAGCACCUUAAGGUAAUUCAUGGUCUCUGUGCUAGAAAGACUCUUUAUCUUAAAUGUGGCCAAGUGGGAUGCUCACGUUCUUUUGGUAGCUUUUCUGGCUUUAGAAAGCAUCUGAACAAGUGCCAUGUAAGCGGUUCAUUUGAUUCUGUAAAAGAAGGUGAUUUUUCACCUCGUCAAAGUGUUCUUGAUACAAGUAAUGCCACUGAUGUGGCAUUACUGACGUGUCGUCUGAAUAUUUAGAGCCUGAGUUAGAAUUAUCUUCAGCAGACCUUGUAAAUAGUUGUGCAGCUGUAAUUUCUGAUCUAAAGGCAGAAGGUGUGGGCCAAAGUGUAGUGAAUUUUGUUGUGAUUUCCAUGGAAGAGAUUGUUCAAGAUAUCCAGCAACAUGCUAAAGAAAUUGUCAUUAAGCGUGUAUUUAGUGAUGAAAGAGAAACUGAAAUGUGCAAGAAAGUUGAAGCAUGUUUUGAGGAGUUAGAGAAUCCUUUCACAGUUCUUAAUUCAGAAUACAAGUGAUCAAAAUUUUUAUCAGACAAGUGGGAAACUGUAUAACUAGUUGAAUGUGUAAUUGGCUCAAGAUUUGACACAAGGCGAAAUAAAAAAAACUGGAACAUAUGAUCAGGUAGUUGUUCAAGAUAAAUUCAUGUAUGCUCCAAUUUUAUCUACUUUGCAGUCAAUAUUUAAAAGUCAGCAUAUCACAGAAAUGUUGAAAAAGCCACUGAUGACUCAAGACUCAGAGAUAUUUGUGAUGGAUCUUUAUUUAAGACUCACCCUCUGUUUUCAACUGAAAAGCACACAGUGCAGAUCCAGAUGUUCUAUGAUGACUUCAAGGUUGCAAAUCCUCUCGGUUCCAAGCGAGGUAUUCAUGAAUUGGGUGCAAUAUAUUUUACCUUAAGGGACUUCUCUCCAAAAUGGAAUUCUCUUUUGGCAAACAUACAGCUGUGUGCCCUAUUUCAUGCACAAGAUCUUAAACGUUACAGUUUUAGUGAAAUUCUUGCUCCUAUUGUUCGAGACAUUAAAGUGUUAGAGACUGAUGGUAUUGAAAUUCCACUAUAUGGUGGUCAUGUUCAUGGCAGUGUGAUACAGGUUACAGGUGAUAGUUUAGGUUUACAUAGUUUGUUUGGUCUGGUGGAGUCUUUCAGUGCAAGGUACUGUUGCAGGUUUUGUUUUGCUGAAAAAGAUGACUUUCAAACAGAAUUCUCUGAAGAUUCUUCCAAAAUAGUGUUGCGCACCAAAGACACCCACACUGCUCACUGUCAAGAAAUGGCUCGUAAUCCAUUUCUUCCUUACGUUUUUGGUGUGAAGAGUUCAUGCUUAUUGAAUUCAUUGACAUAUUUUUGCACAACUUAGAACUUCUCAGUUGAUGUGAUGCAUGACAUUUUGGAAGGGGUGGCCCAAUACGAAUUGAAGUUAUUGUUUGUGUAUUUUAAAGAACAACAUGUUACAUUGGGGGAGCUGAAUUCGAGAAUACAAAGUUUUGAUUAUGGCGUCAUUGAGAGAAACAGUAGGCCAGUGACUGUGAAUUUAGGUGGAGAGAGUAAUGAUCUGGGACUGAAUGCAGCUCAGUCAUGGUGCUUGUUGAGGAAUGUUCCGCUCAUGUUUGGAGAUUUGGUAAGCUCUACUGACCAACACUGCGGCCAAUUUCUUCUAUUACAACAAACUGUAAACAUUGUAUUUUCUCCCAUGUUCUCUCAAGAUCUCUGUGUAUAUUUAAAACAUUUGAUUGUGGAACACCACAAACUUUUCAAGAUGUUGUAUCCCCAGAAAAACUUUUACCAAAGCACCAUUUUCAUAUCCAUUAUCCUCGCUGCAUCCAGAAAAUAGGACCUGUACUUCAUAGUUGGUGCAUGCACUAUGAAGGUAAACACAUUUUUUUUUAAGAAACAGCUCAAGUCAUUUAAAAAUAUCACCAAAACACUAGCCAAAAAACACCAGAAUCAUAUGACAUACGUUUGGCAAUCUUCAAUAACCUUUAGUCGGUUAGACAUUGGUCCAGGAAAAAUGGUGUCUUUAGAAAUGGUAAAAGGAGGUUCUGGAAUUGCCAUGGCAAUGCAAGUGCCCAGUAGUGUUCAAGUUAUGAAAGUGAAUUGGGCUAAACACAAUGAGUUUGUUUACCGCCCACAUCUGGUUAUUUGUGGCAAAGUUGAAUCUGAAAUGCCUCUUUUUUACCAGAUUGAGUCAGU